rnacentral:rRNA from 1 species
AUUGAACGCUGGCGGCAGGCCUAACACAUGCAAGUCGAACGAGUGGCGGACGGGUGAGUAAUGUCUGGGAAACUGCCUGAUGGAGGGGGAUAACUACUGGAAACGGUAGCUAAUACCGCAUACCAUCAGAUGUGCCCAGAUGGGAUUAGCUAGUUGGUGGGGUAACGGCUCACCAAGGCGACGAUCCCUAGCUGGUCUGAGAGGAUGACCAGCCACACUGGAACUGGGAGACGGUCCAGACUCCUAGGGGAGGCAGCAGUGGGGAAUAUUGCACAAUGGGCGCAAGCCUGAUGCAGCCAUGCCGAGUGUAUGAAGAAGGCCUUCGGGUUGUAAAGUACCCUCCGCGGGGCGGCGUUACCAGCAGAAGAAGCCCCGGCUAACUAUGUGCGAGCAGCCGCGGUAAUAC